AGAGAGAGACAUGCGCGCAUAUCAAUAAGCGGAGGAAAAGAAACUAACAAGGAUUCCCUUAGUAACGGCGAGUGAAGCGGGAAGAGCUCAAAUUUGAAAUCUUCAAGGUUUUACCUUGACGAAUUGUAGUUUAAAGAAGUGUUUUCUGCUGAAGUUUUGGUAAAAGUUCUUUGGAAUAGGACAUCAUAGAGGGUGAGAAUCCCGUAUUUGACCAUUAUUUUCAGCUUUGCUGAUACACUUUCAAAGAGUCGGAUUGUUUGGGAAUGCAGUCCAAAAUGGGUGGUAAAUUUCAUCUAAAGCUAAAUAUUGGCGAGAGACCGAUAGCGAACAAGUACCGUGAGGGAAAGAUGAAAAGAACUUUGAAAAGAGAGUUAAACAGUACGUGAAAUUGUCAAAAGGGAAGCGUUUGACACCAGUGUUGUUUUCUCGAAAAUCAAUUAAAAAUGGCUCGAUUUUGUAUUGCUGAGACCUUAAAAGCUCACUGUACAUUUUUCGUGUCUUUUUUAAUGCACUUUUCGUUUAACAAGUCAACAUCAGUUUCUUUUGUUGUAAAAGGGUCAUUGGAAGGUGGCUUUCUUUUCGGAGAAAGUGUUUAUAGCCUUUGGCCUCUGCAAUCGAAGAGACUGAGGUCUGCAGCGUAGACUCUUCGGGGUUAGAUACAUUUGUGCUGAGUUAUAGCUUUUUAUAGACAACUUGUUGACUAUAAUUAGUCUUGUAGCUUACUCGCUUAUGCUAUUUUACCUACGCUUAGGAUGUUGAAGAUGUAGCACAUCAU
rnacentral:rRNA from 1 species